rnacentral:tRNA from 1 species
CUGGCUAGAGCUUGAGAUAAAGCGUUUUAUUUACACUAAAAAGUUAAUUGUGAAAUUCAAUUUGGCUUGA